GCGAGGAUAUAGGAUUCCUCAAAGCCAAGCGGUUAAGGCGGGGGCCUGCAAAGCCUCUAUUCGCCGGUUCGAAUCCGGCUCCUCGCU
rnacentral:tRNA from 1 species